AGCGAACGCUGGCGGCAGGCUUAACACAUGCAAGUCGAGCGCCCCGCAAGGGGAGCGGCAGACGGGUGAGUAACACGUGGGAACGUGCCCUUCAGUUCGGAACAACCCAGGGAAACUUGGGCUAAUACCGGAUACGUCCGAAAGGAGAAAGAUUUAGUCGCUGAAGGAUCGGCCCGCGUCUGAUUAGCUAGUUGGUGGGGUAAUGGCCCACCAAGGCUACGAUCAGUAGCUGGUCUGAGAGGAUGAUCAGCCACAUUGGGACUGAGACACGGCCCAAACUCCUACGGGAGGCAGCAGUGGGGAAUAUUGGACAAUGGGCGCAAGCCUGAUCCAGCCAUGCCGCGUGAGUGAUGAAGGCCCUAGGGUUGUAAAGCUCUUUUAGCGGGGAAGAUAAUGACGGUACCCGCAGAAAAAGCCCCGGCUAACUUCGUGCCAGCCGCCGCAGUAA
rnacentral:rRNA from 1 species